UACGGAGGGGGCUAGCGUUGUUCGGAAUUACUGGGCGUAAAGCGCACGUAGGCGGUUUUGUAAGUUAGAGGUGAAAGGCCGGAGCUCAACUUCGGAAUUGCCUUUAAGACUGCAUCACUUGAAUGUCGUAGAGGUUAGUGGAAUUCCGAGUGUAGAGGUGAAAUUCGUAGAUAUUCGGAAGAACACCAGUGGCGAAGGCGGCUCACUGGACGACUGUUGACGCUGAGGUGCGAAAGCGUGGGGAGCAAACAGG
rnacentral:rRNA from 1 species